AGCUUCUGCAAAUAUUCCUGUAUUUGGAUGGAACACAAUUGAAAUCCCUUCCAGAAGUCUUGUGUGAUGCCUGCAAUUUGAUGGGUAGAGCAGCCAAUGAAGAAGAGCGGCACGCUGAAGAGCAGACACAACAGCGAGCCGAGGAGGCAGAGGGCACUGCACUGCACCGGGCUCAGGUGGAGGCGCUUGACUAAGACACCUCCCAUCAUGAUGCCCACGAUGACCAGAGGGAUAGUGAGGCAGCCGAGGAGCAUGUUGGCAAAGGAGGCUGUGAUGGAAAACUGGCGUUCCAGGAACUUAGGCAGGAAGGUGGCCAUGCCCGCUACCAUGGAUGAGGUGCACACCUGGGACAGGACUACCAGCAAGAAGAUGGGGUGGCGCAGAUUCCGCAGCAGCACCCUAGGGAAGACUGUCGGGACAAGCGGGAAGGAGGUCAGCGUGGGCAGCCAGCCACAGUAUCCACAUCUGUCCAGCCCGCCCCAUCUGUUCCGUUCUCUCUCUUCCAUUCCGUUUAAGUCUAGCGUGUCCCAUGCUAUCACAUUACGUUGGACUCU
ensembl:antisense Gm15635 predicted gene 15635